UGAACGCUGGCGGCGUGCCUAAUACAUGCAAGUCGAGCGAACGGACGAGAAGCUUGCUUCUCUGAUGUUAGCGGCGGACGGGUGAGUAACACGUGGAUAACCUACCUAUAAGACUGGGAUAACUUCGGGAAACCGGAGCUAAUACCGGAUGAUAUUUUGAACCGCAUGGUUCAAAAGUGAAAGACGGUCUUGCUGUCACUUAUAGAUGGAUCCGCGCUGCAUUAGCUAGUUGGUAAGGUAACGGCUUACCAAGGCAACGAUGCAUAGCCGACCUGAGAGGGUGAUCGGCCACACUGGAACUGAGACACGGUCCAGACUCCUACGGGAGGCAGCAGUAGGGAAUCUUCCGCAAUGGGCGAAAGCCUGACGGAGCAACGCCGCGUGAGUGAUGAAGGUCUUCGGAUCGUAAAACUCUGUUAUUAGGGAAGAACAUAUGUGUAAGUAACUGUGCACAUCUUGACGGUACCUAAUCAGAAAGCCACGGCUAACUACGUGCCAGCAGCCGCGGUAAUACGUAGGUGGCAAGCGUUAUCCGGAAUUAUUGGGCGUAAAGCGCGCGUAGGCGGUUUUUUAAGUCUGAUGUGAAAGCCCACGGCUCAACCGUGGAGGGUCAUUGGAAACUGGAAAACUUGAGUGCAGAAGAGGAAAGUGGAAUUCCAUGUGUAGCGGUGAAAUGCGCAGAGAUAUGGAGGAACACCAGUGGCGAAGGCGACUUUCUGGUCUGUAACUGACGCUGAUGUGCGAAAGCGUGGGGAUCAAACAGGAUUAGAUACCCUGGUAGUCCACGCCGUAAACGAUGAGUGCUAAGUGUUAGGGGGUUUCCGCCCCUUAGUGCUGCAGCUAACGCAUUAAGCACUCCGCCUGGGGAGUACGACCGCAAGGUUGAAACUCAAAGGAAUUGACGGGGACCCGCACAAGCGGUGGAGCAUGUGGUUUAAUUCGAAGCAACGCGAAGAACCUUACCAAAUCUUGACAUCCUUUGACAACUCUAGAGAUAGAGCCUUCCCCUUCGGGGGACAAAGUGACAGGUGGUGCAUGGUUGUCGUCAGCUCGUGUCGUGAGAUGUUGGGUUAAGUCCCGCAACGAGCGCAACCCUUAAGCUUAGUUGCCAUCAUUAAGUUGGGCACUCUAAGUUGACUGCCGGUGACAAACCGGAGGAAGGUGGGGAUGACGUCAAAUCAUCAUGCCCCUUAUGAUUUGGGCUACACACGUGCUACAAUGGACAAUACAAAGGGCAGCGAAACCGCGAGGUCAAGCAAAUCCCAUAAAGUUGUUCUCAGUUCGGAUUGUAGUCUGCAACUCGACUACAUGAAGCUGGAAUCGCUAGUAAUCGUAGAUCAGCAUGCUACGGUGAAUACGUUCCCGGGUCU
rnacentral:rRNA from 1 species